rnacentral:rRNA from 1 species
UACGUAGGGGGCUAGCGUUAUCCGGAAUUACUGGGCGUAAAGGGUGCGUAGGUGGUUUCUUAAGUCAGAGGUGAAAGGCUACGGCUCAACCGUAGUAAGCCUUUGAAACUGUGAAACUUGAGUGCAGGAGAGGAGAGUGGAAUUCCUAGUGUAGCGGUGAAAUGCGUAGAUAUUAGGAGGAACACCAGUUGCGAAGGCGGCUCUCUGGACUGUAACUGACACUGAGGCACGAAAGCGUGGGGAGCAAACAGGAUUAGAUACCCUGGUAGUCCCUGA